ACUUGUCUAGCUCAGAUGGUAGAACAUGAGACUCUUAAUCUCAGGGCCAAGGGUUCGAGGAUGCCUGCAUUGCAGGGG